GGGUCCUCAAAAGAUCUGUGUGGAUCCUGGAACAGAGAAUGGAAUCGUUGCAGCAUUUCAUUGAAUCCUGUUUAGAAGGAAAUGGCAAUUCAGUUACUUAGGGAAAAUCUGGAGCAAAUCAAGGUGCUUCACAAUACUUCUAUGCAGUUCAACAAAAUACAGCGCCUCAUUUACAGAGACUUGUAUUUAAAAAAUUUCCAAGAUAUUGAUGAAGAUUUUACAUGUGUGGCAACAUCUAUUUUGCAUCAGCAUGAUCUGCCUUUGCCUGACACCUUGAGAGACUGGACCUCUGCUCAUCAUCUCUACAUAUAUCUGAGGGAGUGCAUGAUGCAUUUGAUGAUUCUUUAACAUCAUAAGAUGUUGUAGAAUAUACAUUUGUUUCCAUGACUUUGUACACUUGCUUUUAUUGCCAGCUGAUUUCUGUUCCAUAGUUUUAUGUAUUUAACUAACCAGAUACAUUUUCAUGUAUUCACAUUUUCUGGGGGUGUUUUUUUAUCCUUGAAAUAUUUUAAAUGUGGAGCUUUACAGAAUUUCAUUUGGUAUGAAUGCUAAAGGCUAUUCAUGAACAGAAUUUGUUCUUUGAACUCUCCCAUCCCACUCCACCAUCCCCUACAAAAACAUCCAUGAAUUUUGUCCAAGCCAUACCUUUGUACUGUUAAACUUGCUAACCACAGGAGAAGUUUACAGAAUUUUUUUUUUAUUUACUAUGCAUUUAUAUAUUCAAAAUGUUUAGCACCUUCUGAUAUGUAUUAUUAAUGUCAGAUAUGUAUGAUUGUGUAAUAAAUUAUAUACAUGUA